UUUUUUUUUUUUUUUUUUAAACCUUGACAAAUACAGCCAAUAUUAACCAUGGUACUGAGAUCCUAUUUUCCAAGCUCUUCACCUAGGGCUUCAAACUUUGUACAUUCCUGUCUUGUAAACUACCACGUGACAGUUUUACCAGAGGAUUGGCAUCCUUCCAGCCACUUUCCUGUCUGAGUGACACUGCCAUCCCUCCCAGCUACCCAAAGCUGGAAACUUGUAUUUUUAGUCUUGAUUCCUUUUCUCCUUUAUCUUCUACAACCAAUCUGUAGAUCCUGCCGGUAGAUUCCAUCAAUUCUCUUGUCAGUAUUAGAUUGUUUUGUUUUGUUUUUGGCUGUGCCCACAGCAUGCAGAAGUUCCCCAGCCAUAGCAGUGACACCAGAUCUUUAACCCACUGAGCCACAGGGAACUCCUAGAUUUUUUUUAAAAAGUUUUAGUUAUACACAAAACUUUUACUGUAACUCAGACACUCUUAUAAGUGCAGUCCUCCUAACAAACCUGUGAGGUUGUAGACAUUUCACAAAUGAGGAAACUAAGGCAUGGAGAAGUUAAGUAACGCCCCAGGCACAAAACUAUUAAAUGGCAGGAUUGGGAUUCAGAGUCCCAGUCCAUGUACUUAGCCACUCAAUAUACUCUGACCCGAGGCUGUCCCUGCAUAUUUGACUUGGCCCGCCUUGAUGACUACCUGUUUUCCCCAAAUAGUCUCAUAAGUCCAUCAACAGCCAGUCCAAUAUUUCUGAACACUCUUCACCCUCCGUUGGGGGAAUAGCAGUUGCUGACAUUCUUCUAAAUUGUCCUACUCCCCUGAGGCAGCUCCUGCUUCUGCUCUGUGUACCGGGGCUCUGGCCUCCUCCCGAAUCACAUUCCCACAGCUGUCACUCCUACCCCUGACAAAAACCUGGGUGGCUCACACUUAAGUCAAAGAUUUAGGAUAGCACAAUGAGCAAAUAUAACCAUUUGUUGUUGACUGAAAUGGUUCACAGAAAACUAUCUGCCUAUUAUCCCAACAAGGAAUUUCUUAGGGGCCUCCCCAACAUUGUUCUUCCUCUUUCUUGGGUUUUCCAAACUAAAACAAUGUUUUUCACUGCUGACAAAAAAAUUAAUCAGUUGAUCUAAAAAAGAAGCAGAAUAUUUUAUUUGAGCCAAAUUGAGGAUUAUAAUCCAGGAACCACAUCUCAGAAAGCUCUGAGAACUGUUCCAUUAGAGGUCAAAGCACAGUUAUGUUUUUGAGACAGAAGCACUGUACAUUAAAUGACGUUAUUGUCAACAAUUCAGGUUCCCAUUGUGGCGUAGCGGAAACAAAUCUGACUAGGAACCAUGAGAUUUCGGGUUUGAUCUCUGGCCUUGCUCAGUGUGUUAAGGAUCCGGCGUUGCCGUGAGCUGUGGUGUAGGUCGCAGACACGGCUGGAUCCAGCGUUGCUGUGGCUCUGGCGUAGGCCGGUGGCUACAGCUCCAAUUAGACCCCUAGCCUGGGAACCUCCUUAUGCCGUGGGAGCGGCCCUUUGGCAAAAAGACAAAAAAAAAA
rnacentral:lncRNA from 1 species